GGCUCAAUGAUUAUAUGCCUUACACAGGCAAUAUACGCUAUUCUCAUUGGUAUGUUAUCAAUAGGAUGAAAACCUAAAUUCAUAUGAGAGCU